rnacentral:rRNA from 1 species
GGCGGACGGGUGAGUAAUGCUUAGGAAUCUGCCUAUUAGUGGGGGACAACAUUCCGAAAGGAAUGCUAAUACCGCAUACGCCCUACGGGGGAAAGCAGGGGAUCUUCGGACCUUGCGCUAAUAGAUGAGCCUAAGUCGGAUUAGCUAGUUGGUGGGGUAAAGGCCUACCAAGGCGACGAUCUGUAGCGGGUCUGAGAGGAUGAUCCGCCACACUGGGACUGAGACACGGCCCAGACUCCUACGGGAGGCAGCAGUGGGGAAUAUUGGACAAUGGGCGCAAGCCUGAUCCAGCCAUGCCGCGUGUGUGAAGAAGGCCUUUUGGUUGUAAAGCACUUUAAGCGAGGAGGAGGCUCCUUUAGUUAAUACCUAAAGUGAGUGGACGUUACUCGCAGAAUAAGCACCGGCUAACUCUGUGCCAGCAGCCGCGGUAAUACAGAGGGUGCGAGCGUUAAUCGGAUUUACUGGGCGUAAAGCGUGCGUAGGCGGCUUUUUAAGUCGGAUGUGAAAUCCCUGAGCUUAACUUAGGAAUUGCAUUCGAUACUGGAAAGCUAGAGUAUGGGAGAGGAUGGUAGAAUUCCAGGUGUAGCGGUGAAAUGCGUAGAGAUCUGGAGGAAUACCGAUGGCGAAGGCAGCCAUCUGGCCUAAUACUGACGCUGAGGUACGAAAGCAUGGGGAGCAAACAGGAUUAGAUACCCUGGUAGUCCAUGCCGUAAACGAUGUCUACUAGCCGUUGGGGCCUUUGAGGCUUUAGUGGCGCAGCUAACGCGAUAAGUAGACCGCCUGGGGAGUACGGUCGCAAGACUAAAACUCAAAUGAAUUGACGGGGGCCCGCACAAGCGGUGGAGCAUGUGGUUUAAUUCGAUGCAACGCGAAGAACCUUACCUGGCCUUGACAUACUAAGAACUUUCCAGAGAUGGAUUGGUGCCUUCGGGAACUUAGAUACAGGUGCUGCAUGGCUGUCGUCAGCUCGUGUCGUGAGAUGUUGGGUUAAGUCCCGCAACGAGCGCAACCCUUUUCCUUAUUUGCCAGCGGGUAAUGCCGGGAACUUUAAGGAUACUGCCAGUGACAAACUGGAGGAAGGCGGGGACGACGUCAAGUCAUCAUGGCCCUUACGGCCAGGGCUACACACGUGCUACAAUGGUCGGUACAAAGGGUUGCUACCUCGCGAGAGGAUGCUAAUCUCAAAAAGCCGAUCGUAGUCCGGAUCGCAGUCUGCAACUCGACUGCGUGAAGUCGGAAUCGCUAGUAAUCG